AGCCUCGAGGCUAGCCUGCUCUUUGGACGUUUGCACUGCAGCCUGGACCCUAGGCCAGACCGAGGGAGCCUCGCUGCGUAGAGGAGAAGCGUCCUGUCCCCACGGCACCCACAAUGCUUUGCCGCCCGGGACCGUCCCCGGGGGUGGGGAGCGGGUUGGCGUGGCUGCGGCUGUCUGGUGGCGCCGCGCCGGAGAGGAAGAUGUGGGAGCAACAGUUCAUACCCAGGGUUCUAGUGGUAAGGAGUCCUUUCCAAAUAUAAGAGGAAUAAAGAAGUUACUUCCCCUGCUGCCAUCAUCUCCCAACAGACUGAGCAAGAAUAUUUCGAGCGCUACAGCAAAGACAGUCCAUCAAACCCUAGAUGAUGAUCAGCCGUGUGACUUUUUCAAGAAAGGGAAUAGGGUGAAUAAAUCUUAUCAGAAAAGCAGGUAAAUAGUUUUUCAUGUAAUUGCUUUAUCUUGCAAAAGGCACGUUAUCUCAGUUCUCCAGAUUGAU
rnacentral:lncRNA from 1 species